AACGAACGCUGGCGGCAUGCCUAACACAUGCAAGUCGAAUGAUGCCUUCGGGCAUAGUGGCGCACGGGUGCGUAACGCGUGGGAAUCUGCCUUUCGGUUCGGAAUAACUCAGGGAAACUUGAGCUAAUACCGGAUAACGUCGCAAGACCAAAGAUUUAUCACCGAAAGAUGAGCCCGCGUAGGAUUAGCUAGUUGGUGAGGUAAAGGCUCACCAAGGCGACGAUCCUUAGCUGGUCUGAGAGGAUGAUCAGCCACACUGGGACUGAGACACGGCCCAGACUCCUACGGGAGGCAGCAGUGGGGAAUAUUGGACAAUGGGCGAAAGCCUGAUCCAGCAAUGCCGCGUGAGUGAUGAAGGCCUUAGGGUUGUAAAGCUCUUUUACCCGGGAAGAUAAUGACGGUACCGGGAGAAUAAGCCCCGGCUAACUCCGUG
rnacentral:rRNA from 1 species